CAAUAGCGUAUAUUAAAGUUGUUGCAGUUAAAAAGCUCGUAGUUGGAUUUCUGGUUGAAGCGACCGGUCGGGCGUUGAUUCGUCUGCACUGGAGUCGGUUUUGGCCAUCCUCUAGGAAAGUGCGUCUGGUAUUAAGUUAUCGGGCGUAUGAUCCUGGUCUUUUACUGUGAAAAAAUUAGAGUGUUUAAAGCAGGCCUUCGCCUUGAAUACAUUAGCAUGGAAUAAUAAGAUAGGACUUUGGUCUAUUUUGUUGGUUUGCAGACCGAAGUAAUGAUUAAUAGGGAUAGUUGGGGGUAUUUAUAUUCCGAUGUCAGAGGUGAAAUUCUUAGAUUUUCGGAAGAUAAACAUAUGCGAAAGCAUUUACCAAGGAUGUUUNCAUUAA
rnacentral:rRNA from 1 species